ensembl:lncRNA
AGUCAUUUGUAUUCAUAAUAUAAUUUAUCCAAAAAAAAGUGAAUUCUUGAGCAUUUACAGUACACAUAUCCGGAUUUGGAGUACCGACCUGACUUUUCCCUCCUAUCAUCCUUAUUAAAAGCAAAGAACACAAGCAGCCUCACAGACUUUCUGUUUCCUCAGCCUGUUAAAACCUACUGUGAAAGAAUGCAUGAGUAAUAUGUAUAAAUAAAAGUCCUUCACAGAACUUGAAAUGUUGUCCUUUGUUCAAAAAGACUGGGAUAAAGUUUCAGCUCCCAAUCAUCUUACUAUUUUGUAAAACUAUCUUAUACAUUUACCUUAUGUGGCAAGGAAGUUUUCUGCCAGGGUCUAAUUUUAUAACACAAAGAUAUUUUUAUUGCUUCCUUUACCCUGGGGAGUGUCAUGCUCUCCAAAUUGACUUUCCCCAAAAAACUUCACAAGAUAUCUUGUUUCCUCUGAUAUAUGGGUGCAGCUAUAUAAAUCUAAAACACUGAGAAAACAAAAAGUGAUGAUGAAAAAUAACCAACAAAUGCCUACUCAUAGAAGGUCCCAACACAUUUUUUUGAUUUUUCUCAACUGAUUUUAAUAACGAGUUACUAAAAUUGCAAAUUCAGCACUGUAAAGUUUUGCAUUAAACCUCACAAUAAAGCAAGACAUUAUACUAAUUUAGACUUAAUGCCUAAGAUGAAAAUACAGGCCAACUGAAUUAUCUGGGAUUCAGGAAUCAACAGCCCUAGUUUAUCUCAUAAUCUUUGUUUUUCCCUCAUUCUCACCAGACCUUUCAAGAACUAAACUGAAAAUUGAGCUUUCUCUCCUUUUACUUCCCUUGAUCACCUUCUGGAAGAGGUGCUAAUGAGCAAUGAGGUGAAAUGAACAAAGUAGGCUAUAAACGGAAAGUCUGAAGAGUUAAGAAAAGCACAGGAACUAGAUAAUGAACAAAUCACGUAAUCUGCACCAUAUAAGCAUGUGUGUGGUGGAAACGCACACCACCUGCGUGAGUGACAGGAUCAUCAACAACAAACAUUUGCUAGGCCUACUAUAGUUAUUUCUUUUUCCUUACUGUAUACUCCUGUAGACAUCACACUGUAGUUCAAUCAAGAAAAGGUAUCCAUUACAUACAUCUGAAUUCAUCUAACCAAAAUAAUAAAAAAAAUUAAUCAAUACAUGAUCAAUAUACAUUGAGAGAUCCAAAAUCAAUGUUAACCAGGCACAAAUGGCUUUUCUAGGACUGCUAUUUUGAAUAUUUUCACUCUGGUAACAACCAAGAAAAGAGUUAGCAGAACCUGUUUAAUUUCCGGGACAAAAAGGAUCUAGAAAAACGAGUAUUAAUGAUUUCUAUCAUAUUAUCAGUUCCAAAUUAUAAGAGUCGUGACUCCAGAGCAGGGGGCUUCAGAAACACUGAAAGCACUCACUGUUUUUCUGCCCAGUCUACGCUUGAUCCAGUUAUCAACAACAGGGCCCAGGAGUAACUUCUAUAAGCACAAAACUUACUCAAAACUCAACAAAUUCUAAAUAAAAAUGUUGUAACAGUAGAGCUCAGAAGUCUGCUGAACUAGAUAAUCCUAACUACCAAUAAACAAUUUCAUUUUUAGUAACAUUGCUAAUAAACCUGUGCUGUUUUAGCAGCUAAUAAUAUAGGUUGUAAGCAUGACAGAAACAAUGUGUAAUUUAAAGGCAAAAGGACUUUUCCUUUUCUCAAGUGACAGAAACAUUAGUUUGGCUCAUCUUCAGACAGAGCCUACCUUCUCAUCUCUGGUGGUUAUCUGGGUUUAAAGUGCGUCAGGACCUGAUGAAGACCCCGUCAAAAUGUAAGUAUACAUAUAUGCCUUUAUAUAUCUAUAUGCAUAUGAUGGCUAAAGAUCCAACCUACUGUUGCUUCUAAAAUGUUUAAUUAGAAUCUGUUUUACAGUCCUAAAAUGAAAUGUUUUGUUGGAAUAAAUAAGACUUUAGGACUUGAUGUUAACUACACUCAUGAAAAUAUAGAACUAGUGUGUCUAGUCUGCUGCUUUUAAAAGCUAAUGUAUUAUUCACAAAUGAGAAAUUUAAGCUUGUUACAUUUUAUUCAUGAGCAAUACUGACUAAAUAAUGAGACUUUAGAUCACAUAAACACAAUGAUUAUGGCUGUCAAUAGAAGAUCCAAAUUAAUGAAUUUUCUAAAGUUCUUUCUGUAUACAGACCUAAAUUCAAAUUCAGAAAGAGCUGAAUGACACAUUUAACCUGUAAUUUG